AUUGAAAACAAAUAACUACACUCAUUAUCUCAGAAAGUAUUAACUAUUUCCAGAAUUUGUUUUCUAGAACAUUUAAGAAAUAAGUUGCUGUAUAAUUGUACAUUUAUGUUAAUUUUUGGGGGUAAAACCACUACCUACUUUUGAUUUUCAACUAGCAACCUAUAUUAAAAAGUUCAUAACUAGAUAGUUAAAAUAAAUUUCAGUGUGGAAAUUUUUGAUUUCUGUCAAGUCGUUGACAAAAUAUUCCACUUUUAUGUUUGAGUUGGAGGAGAGUAGUAAAGUAUCAUUUGUGUAAAUAAUGCACCACUACUCUCUUCCAACCUAAAAUUACAAGUACAC